ACCCCACUGCUAUCGGGAUGAGACUAAGACAUGCUAGUCGUGCGCUUCUAGCCAUGCUGGAGCGCGGCACACAGCUCAGUAACACGUGGCUAACCUGCCCCUGAGACGGGAACAACCCCGGGAAACUGGGGCCAAUUCCCGAUAGGUGAAGAUCCCUGGAAUGGGUUUUCGCCCAAAGGACGUUUAGGUCAUGCUUCUAGGCGUUGCCCAAGGAUGGGGCCGCGGCCGAUCAGGUUGUUGGUGAGGUAAUGGCUCACCAAGCCUAUAACCGGUGCGGGCCGUGAGAGCGGGAGCCCGGAGAUGGGCACUGAGACAAGGGCCCAGGCCCUACGGGGCGCAACAGGCGCGAAAACUUCGCAAUAAGCGAAAGCUUGACGGGGCUAUCCCGAGUGCCAUCCGCUGAGGAUGGCUUUUCUCUAGUAUAGAUAGCUGGGGGAAUAAGGAGAGGGCAAGUCUGGUGUCAGCCGCCGCGGUAAUACCAGCUCUCCGAGUGGUGUGGACGAUUAUUGGGCCUAAAGCAUCCGUAGCCGGCUGGGCAAGUCCCCUGUUAAACCCAACGAUUCAAUCGUUGGCUCGCGGGGGAUACUGCUCGGCUAGGGGGCGAGAGAGGCCGUCGGUAUUCCCGGGGUAGGGGUGAAAUCCUAUAAUCCCGGGAGGACCACCAGUGGCGAAGGCUGUCGGCUAGAACGCGCUCGACGGUGAGGGAUGAAAGCUGGGGGAGCGAACCGGAUUAGAUACCCGGGUAGUCCCAGCUGUAAACGAUGCAGGCUAGGUGUUAGGGCGGCCACGUGCCGCUCUAGUGCCGCAGGGAAGCUGUUAAGCCUGCCGCCUGGGGAGUACGGCCGCAAGGCUGAAACUUAAAGGAAUUGGCGGGGGAGCACCACAAGGGGUGAAGCUUGCGGUUUAAUUGGAUCAACGCCGGA
rnacentral:rRNA from 1 species